rnacentral:lncRNA from 1 species
UCAGUAGCCAUGCCCCCGGGAGCUGGUAGAAAAAGCCUCGGCUGUCGCUGCUGGUGGUAGGGGGAGUAGGAGGUCAGGUGUCCCCUCUGUUUCCCUGGGCUCCUACAAUCAUGCCCUCAGAGAUCUGGGGAUAGAUUAUUGAGAUUUCCCAGCUGUAUGUAUCUGGUGGGGUGGGAGUCACACACCUGUUGAAGCUGAUUUUGCUGGGAAGGGAUCCCAACCACUGCCGAACUCUGGUGACAUCAGCUCUCUGCUGUGGUGGACUCCCUUGCCGGGGUAUCCGAUGGGAGGGGUGGGUCUGGUCUGUCUCUGGUCUGUCCUGGCCUCAGUUCUCGGUCCGCCGUCACAUGGAGGCUUGGUUAGCAACCUCUUCAAAGGGUCCAACUCUUUGUUUCUCUGCCGCUCGCAGUCUCUGGCAGUGCCAAGCACCUCCGUCUGUCUCUUGGCCACUUGCGGUCUCUGGCAAUGCCGAAACACCUCGGUCUGCCUCCAGCUGACAGACAGUCAGCAAGCACCUCCAUGCUGUGCUGGGUGGCCAAGAUUCGCCCAUGUCUGAGCAAGCUGCUGCCUCUGAGGAGCCCAAACUCCCCACCUAGGUCUCACUUCAGCCGAAUUUUGCUGGGAGUUUCUCAGCAGGCAGAAUCCAAAUGUUCUGAGGUCUCUCUCUGUCCACUCAGCUGAGGAGAUGAAGAGAGCGCUGCCUCGCCGCCUGCCU